GAGCCCGGUGUCUCCUUGGCAACGGGGCUGUGGCGGGCCCCUGAGGAGCGCCAGCCCCGUGCCCCCCCCCACUCGUCACUCGGAUCUAAGACGACCCCCACUCCCGCAUCUGGAAAACGUAGGGGCCAGUUAUCAUUUUACUACAGAAGCGAAUUAGAGGAGCUUCGCCUGGAAAGUGCCGAGAGGAAAAAAUGGGGGGGGGGGCAUUGCUUCCUGCACCCCCGCCCUGUCAGAGGGCUCGGCCCAAGCGCUUGGAGCUGCUCUGUUGAUAUACCUGCACCUAGCUCUUUACCAGGCUUGUGUUUUCCUCUGCAUUGAGAAACAGAAGGCAACAGAAGGCAUGGACUACUCAAAUAGGAGAUACUGGAAGGAACAUAUAUUGGAAUUCAGGACUGCAGAAAACAAGAUUUAAAGUUGUAUGCACUACUUUGGAACAAAUAUGGGAUAGAAAGGAGGCAGCAGAACAAUUUUUGCAGGGCUCAGGAAUUCCAGUGCAGUUCGGUGGUGGUCGAGGAAGCUGUCUUCUUCAGAAUUCAGUCAGCUAGAGAAAAUGUGAAUGCAAGGAAUUUGUAAUCAGUGCAACGUUCCUUUUCCUCAAGGUUAGUACCAAAUAACUUUAACUCAGUCAUACGCCCUAAGGAGGCAAAUCAGCUCUCUCCAGUCCCUGAAUAUAGGACUGUGUAUUGUCCUGCAAAUGGCAGCUGGAAAGGGCCCUGCUUCUGGUGUGCUAAGAAAGCUGCUGUGAAGAGCCACAAUCACAGCACUGCAGAGGAAAUUUGGACCCAAGACUCAGGGAAUGUAUCAAAGGGCACAGGAAGUCAAUAAACCUCACUAGUUAGCAAUGAAACUUGACCAGCCCCUACCUAUAGCAGCAGAACAAGUCAAUUCCCUCACUCUUCCUUUCUACCUUAUGCAAAGAUCCCUAUAAAAUAUUCCUGCACAAACUCAGUGUACUCGGGCCAGAGCAAGGUUUGUUCCUCAGUGCAUACAAAAUGGUAUUGACCAAGCUUGACUUUUUCAGUUAUAAACAUGAGUAAAAUAUCGUAUGAUUUUUUUUGUUCAUUGCAUGAUGUUAAAAACAAUAGAUUAAAAAACAUUCCA